rnacentral:rRNA from 1 species
AUUGAACGCUGGCGGUAGGCCUAACACAUGCAAGUCGAACGGCAGCACAGGAGAGCUUGCUCUCUGGGUGGCGAGUGGCGGACGGGUGAGGAAUACAUCGGAAUCUACUUUUUCGUGGGGGAUAACGUAGGGAAACUUACGCUAAUACCGCAUACGACCUACGGGUGAAAGCAGGGGAUCUUCGGACCUUGCGCGAUUGAAUGAGCCGAUGUCGGAUUAGCUAGUUGGCGGGGUAAAGGCCCACCAAGGCGACGAUCCGUAGCUGGUCUGAGAGGAUGAUCAGCCACACUGGAACUGGAACACGGUCCAGACUCCUACGGGAGGCAGCAGUGGGGAAUAUUGGACAAUGGGCGCAAGCCUGAUCCAGCCAUACCGCGUGGGUGAAGAAGGCCUUCGGGUUGUAAAGCCCUUUUGUUGGGAAAGAAAUCCAGCUGGUUAAUACCCGGUUGGGAUGACGGUACCCAAAGAAUAAGCACCGGCUAACUUCGUGCCAGCCGCCGCGGUAA